AUUGAACGCUGGCGGCAGGCCUAACACAUGCAAGUCGGGCGAGUGGCGGACGGGUGAGUAAUGUCUGGGAAACUGCCUGAUGGAGGGGGAUAACUACUGGAAACGGUAGCUAAUACCGCAUACCAUCGGAUGUACCCAUAUGGGAUUAGCUAGUAGGUGGGGUAACGGCUCACCUAGGCGACGAUCCCUAGCUGGUCUGAGAGGAUGACCAGCCACACUGGAACUGAGACACGGUCCAGACUCCUACGGGAGGCAGCAGUGGGGAAUAUUGCACAAUGGGCGCAAGCCUGAUGCAGCCAUGCCGCGUGUAUGAAGAAGGCCUUCGGGUUGUAAAGUACUUUCAGCGGGGAGGCGUUACCCGCAGAAGAAGCACCGGCUAACUCCGUGCCAGCAGCCGCGGUAAUUC
rnacentral:rRNA from 1 species